UUAAAAGACCUUCUUAUGAAGGUAUGCUUAAAGAGGGGCUUGCGCCACAUUAGUUAGUUGGUAGGGUAAAAGCCUACCAAGACGAUGAUGUGUAGCUGGACUGAGAGGUUGAACAGCCACAUUGGGACUGAGACACGGCCCAAACUCCUACGGGAGGCAGCAGUAGGGAAUUUUCGGCAAUGGAGGAAACUCUGACCGAGCAACGCCGCGUGAACGAUGAAGUAUUUCGGUAUGUAAAGUUCUUUUAUUGAAGAAGAAAAAGUAGUGGAAAAACUAUAUUGACGUUAUUCAAUGAAUAAGCCCCGGCUAACUAUGUGCCAGCAGCCGCGGUAAGACAUAGGGGGCGAGCGUUAUCCGGAAUUAUUGGGCGUAAAGGGUGCGUAGGCUGUUAGAUAAGUCUAUAAUUUAAUUUCAGUGCUUAACGCUGUCUUGUUAUAGAAACUGUCUUGACUAGAGUGAGAUAGAGGCAAGCGGAAUUCCAUGUGUAGCGGUAAAAUGUGUAAAUAUAUGGAGGAACACCAGAAGCGUAGGCGGCUUGCUGGGUCUUUACUGACGCUGAGGCACGAAAGCGUGGGUAGCAAACAGGAUUAGAUACCCUGGUAGUCCACGCCGUAAACGAUGAGUACUAAGUGUCGGGGUAAAACUCGGUACUGAAGUUAACACAUUAAGUACUCCGCCUGAGUAGUACGUACGCAAGUAUGAAACUUAAAGGAAUUGACGGGACUCCGCACAAGCGGUGGAUCAUGUUGUUUAAUUCGAAGAUACACGAAAAAUCUUACCAGGUCUUGACAUACUCUGCAAAGCUAUAGAAAUAUAGUGGAGGUUAUCAGGGAUACAGGUGGUGCAUGGUUGUCGUCAGUUCGUGUCGUGAGAUGUUAGGUUAAGUCCUAAAACGAGCGCAACCCUUGUCGUUAAUUGCCAGCACGUAAUGGUGGGGACUUUAGCGAGACUGCCAAUUAAACAUUGGAGGAAGGUGAGGAUUACGUCAAAUCAUCAUGCCCCUUAUGAUCUGGGCUACAAACGUGAUACAAUGGCUGUGACAAAGAGUAGCUGAAACGCGAGUUUUUAGCCAAUCUCAAAAAAGCAGUCUCAGUUCGGAUUGAAGUCUGUAACUCGACUUCAUGAAGUUGGAAUCGCUAGUAAUCGCGAAUCAGCAUGUCG
rnacentral:rRNA from 1 species